rnacentral:rRNA from 1 species
GACGAACGCUGGCGGCGUGCUUAACACAUGCAAGUCGAACGGUAAGGCCCUUCGGGGUACACGAGUGGCGAACGGGUGAGUAACACGUGGGUGAUCUGCCCUGCACUUCGGGAUAAGCCUGGGAAACUGGGUCUAAUACCGGAUAGGACCACUGCCUGCAUGGGUGGUGGUGGAAAGCUUUUGCGGUGUGGGAUGGGCCCGCGGCCUAUCAGCUUGUUGGUGGGGUGAUGGCCUACCAAGGCGACGACGGGUAGCCAGCCUGAGAGGGUGACCGGCCACACUGGGACUGAGAUACGGCCCAGACUCCUACGGGAGGCAGCAGUGGGGAAUAUUGCACAAUGGGCGCAAGCCUGAUGCAGCGACGCCGCGUGAGGGAUGACGGCCUUCGGGUUGUAAACCUCUUUCAGCACCGACGAAGCGCAAGUGACGGUAGGUGCAGAAGAAGGACCGGCCAACUACGUGCCAGCCGCCGCCGUAACAC